UGCCAGACUCCUACGGGAGGCAGCAGUGGGGGAUAUUGCACAAUGGGGGAAACCCUGAUGCAGCGACGCCGCGUGGGCGAAGAAGUAUUUCGGUGUGUAAAGCCCUCUCAGCAGGGAAGAAGAAAUGACGGUACCUGAAGAAGAAGCCCCGGCUAACUACGUGCCAGCAGCCGCGGUAAUACGUAGGGGGCAAGCGUUAUCCGGAUUUACUGGGUGUAAAGGGGGCGCAGACGGCGAUGCAAGCCAGGAGUGAAAGCCCGGGGCCCAACCCCGGGACUGCUCUUGGAACUGCGUGGCUGGAGUGCAGGAGGGGCAGGCGGAAUUCCUGGUGUAGCGGUGAAAUGCGUAGAUAUCAGGAGGAACACCGGUGGCGAAGGCGGCCUGCUGGACUGCAACUGACGUUGAGGCCCGAAAGCGUGGGGAGCAAACAGGAUUAGAUACCCUCGUAU
rnacentral:rRNA from 1 species